rnacentral:rRNA from 1 species
AGGCAGCAGUAGGGAAUCUUCCACAAUGGGCGAAAGCCUGAUGGAGCAACGCCGCGUGAGUGAAGAAGGUUUUCGGAUCGUAAAACUCUGUUGUAAGGGAAGAACAAGUACAGUAGUAACUGGCUGUACCUUGACGGUACCUUAUUAGAAAGCCACGGCUAACUACGUGCCAGCAGCCGCGGUAAUACGUAGGUGGCAAGCGUUGUCCGGAAUUAUUGGGCGUAAAGCGCGCGCAGGCGGUCCUUUAAGUCUGAUGUGAAAGCCCACGGCUCAACCGUGGAGGGUCAUUGGAAACUGGGGGACUUGAGUGCAGAAGAGGAAAGUGGAAUUCCAAGUGUAGCGGUGAAAUGCGUAGAGAUUUGGAGGAACACCAGUGGCGAAGGCGACUUUCUGGUCUGUAACUGACGCUGAGGCGCGAAAGCGUGGGGAGCAAACAGGAUUAGAUACCCUGGUAGUCCACGCCGUAAACGAUGAGUGCUAAGUGUUAGGGGGUUUCCGCCCCUUAGUGCUGCAGCUAACGCAUUAAGCACUCCGCCUGGGGAGUACGGUCGCAAGACUGAAACUC